rnacentral:rRNA from 1 species
AGAGUUUGAUCCUGGCUCAGAUUGAACGCUGGCGGCAUGCCUUACACAUGCAAGUCGAACGGCAGCACGGGAGCAAUCCUGGUGGCGAGUGGCGAACGGGUGAGUAAUAUAUCGGAACGUGCCCAGUCGUGGGGGAUAACGAAGCGAAAGCUACGCUAAUACCGCAUACGAUCUAUGGAUGAAAGCGGGGGAUCGCAAGACCUCGCGCGAUUGGAGCGGCCGAUAUCAGAUUAGCUAGUUGGUGGGGUAAAAGCCCACCAAGGCGACGAUCUGUAGCUGGUCUGAGAGGACGACCAGCCACACUGGAACUGAGACACGGUCCAGACUCCUACGGGAGGCAGCAGUGGGGAAUUUUGGACAAUGGGCGCAAGCCUGAUCCAGCAAUGCCGCGUGCAGGACGAAGGCC